CUGCCACUGCUUUUUGCUUGUUUCAUUGAAUUCUUUAUUCAAGAUGAGAAGAACCUGGAAUCCAACUCCAGAAGGACAGAGACUUUGCCUGAGACUGAGGUUAAAGGUGGUGGACUAAUUAAUCUUGUAGAAGAAAUUUUAAGGCAGUCUAAUGUUGAGAUGGUGGCAUGGCUACAGUUGGGGGCUUUUAAACAGAUUUAUGUUGAGACUCAAGAGCAAAGAGCCUAGCAGAAUGAUUUAAGAUGUUUUGAGUUUGGCCAGAAAGGAAACUCCAGUAAAGCUGUGGACUUCAAAGAUAGAAUGGAGGAGAUCUUGAUUUCUGAGAAAGAACGGGAGAAUAGAAAAGAUGGCUUGAGGGCAUCACAAGAAGCAGCAGGACUCCACCCUUUGCAGCCUCAAGAUUGCAAAAGUGAAAGACUUUCCUUUGAGAAGAGAGCCCAAGAGCACCAUAUUCCAGUAUGGCAGGAGCCUGGAGAAUUUGUUCUUUGGAAUUGGAUUCAGAGUGCUCAGCAAUCCAGGCACGAGACCCCUACAGCCAAGAGAGAAGGAAAACUAGCAACUGCUCCAGCUGGCAGCAGACCUUAGCAUUGUUCACGUGGUGCUGGUUUUAGGUGUGUGCAGAAUGCAAGAGUUGUGGGGUCAGGAAGGCUUCCAUCCAGAUUUCAGAAGGCCUGGGAGGCCAGGCAGUGCGUCCCUUCAAGGGCAGUGAAGCUGUGAGUGUGAAGCCGAAGAUGUAGUGGAGACCCGAGAAGUUUGGAGAACCCAGGAGCGUGGAUCAUCUGAGGAAAGCUGCAAGAAGGGAACAGAAAUGGCCCAAGAGAGAAGCUGUGGGAGCUACAACCAUCUGCAGUGCCAUGGGGCCAGAGCCACCCACGCCCUUUGGAGUUCACAACUUGCCACAGAUUGCUGGGGAUUCGGGAAGUGGAACUGUGGGAUUUAAUAUGUUUGCCCAGCUGGAUUUUGGACUUGCUUUGCUCUCUUUCCUGUGUAUCUCCCUAUUUGUACCUUU
ensembl:lncRNA